rnacentral:rRNA from 1 species
GUCCUAGCCGUAAACGGUGCACGUUUGCUGUAAAAGGAAUCGACCCCUUUUGUGGCGUAGCCAACGCGUUAAACGUGCCGCCUGGGAAGUACGGUCGCAAGAUUAAAACUCAAAGAAAUUGACGGGGGCCUGCACAAGCGGUGGAGUAUGUGGCUCAAUUCGAUGCAACGCGAAGAACCUUACCUGGCCUUGACAUGUACGUAGUAGAAGGGUGAAAGCCUGACGAGGUAGCAAUACCAGCGUACACAGGUGCUGCAUGGCUGUCGU